CAAAUGGUUUUUUUGAAAACCAAUUCCAGUUUCGAAAAAAAAUUU
rfam:Dracunculus medinensis genome assembly, scaffold: DME_scaffold0000010